AUUGAACGCUGGCGGCAGGCCUAACACAUGCAAGUCGAACGAGUGGCGGACGGGUGAGUAAUGUCUGGGAAACUGCCUGAUGGAGGGGGCUAACUACUGGAAACGGUAGCUACUACCGCAUACCAUCGGAUGUGCCCACAUGGGAUUAGCUAGUAGGUGGGGUAAAGGCUCACCUAGGCGACGAUCCCUAGCUGGUCUGAGAGGAUGACCAGCCACACUGGAACUGAGACACGGUCCAGACUCCUACGGGAGGCAGCAGUGGGGAAUAUUGCACAAUGGGCGAAAGCCUGAUGCAGCAACGCCGCGUGUAUGAAGAAGGUCUUCGGGUUGUAAAGCACUUUUAGCGGGGAGGCGUUACCCACAGAAGAAGCACCGGCUAACUCCGUGCCAGCAGCCGCGGUAAUAC
rnacentral:rRNA from 1 species